UAUCUGGUUGAUCCUGCCAGUAGUCAUACGCUCGUCUCAAAGAUUAAGCCAUGCAUGUGUAAGUAUAAAUAAUUCUACUUUGAAACUGCGAAUGGCUCAUUAUAUCAGUUAUAGUUUAUUAGAAAAAAUGUACUACUUGGAUAACCGUAGUAAUUCUAGGGCUAAUACAUGAGUAAAUCCUCGACUUUGAAGAGGUGUGUUUAUUAGUAUGAAAACCAUAUGCUUCGGCAUGAUAGUGAGUAAUAAUAACCUUUCAUAUCGUAUGUUGAAAUAACGAUAGUUCUUUCAAGUUUCUGCCCUAUCAGCUUUCGAUGGUAGUGCAUUGGACUACCAUGGCAGUAACGGGUAACGAAGAAUUUGGGUUCGAUUUCGGAGAGGGAGCCUGAGAGAUGGCUACCACAUCCAAGGAAGGCAGCAGGCGCGUAAAUUACCCAAUCCUGACAUAGGGAGGUAGUGACAAUAAAUCACAAUGCGGGACUGUUUAGUUUUGCAAUUGGAUUGAGAACAAUGUACAAGAGUUAUCGAUAAACAAUUGGAGGGCAAGUCUGGUGCCAGCAGCCGCGGUAAUUCCAG
rnacentral:rRNA from 1 species